UACGUAGGGUGCGAGCGUUGUCCGGAAUUAUUGGGCGUAAAGAGCUCGUAGGCGGUUUGUCACGUCUGCUGUAAAAUCCCGAGGCUCAACCUCGGGCCUGCAGUGGGUACGGGCAGACUGGAGUGCGGUAGGGGAGAAUGGAAUUCCUGGUGUAGCGGUGGAAUGCGCAGAUAUCAGGAGGAACACCGAUGGCGAAGGCAGUUCUCUGGGCCGUAACUGACGCUGAGGAGCGAAAGCGUGGGGAGCGAACAGG
rnacentral:rRNA from 1 species